rnacentral:rRNA from 1 species
AGAGUUUGAUCCUGGCUCAGAUUGAACGCUGGCGGCAUGCCUAACACAUGCAAGUCGAACGGCAGCACAGCAGUAGCAAUACUGUGGGUGGCGAGUGGCGGACGGGUGAGUAAUGCAUCGGGACCUACCCAGACGUGGGGGAUAACGUAGGGAAACUUACGCUAAUACCGCAUACGUCCUACGGGAGAAAGCGGGGGAUCGAAAGACCUCGCGCGGUUGGACGGACCGAUGUUCGAUUAGCUAGUUGGUAGGGUAAUGGCCUACCAAGGCGACGAUCGAUAGCUGGUCUGAGAGGAUGAUCAGCCACACUGGAACUGAGACACGGUCCAGACUCCUACGGGAGGCAGCAGUGGGGAAUAUUGGACAAUGGGCGCAAGCCUGAUCCAGCAAUGCCGCGUGUGUGAAGAAGGCCUUCGGGUUGUAAAGCACUUUUAUCAGGAGCGAAAUACUACCGGCUAAUAACCGGUGGGGCUGACGGUACCUGAGGAAUAAGCACCGGCUAACUUCGUGCCAGCAGCCGCGGUAAUACGAAGGGUGCAAGCGUUAAUCGGAAUUACUGGGCGUAAAGCGUGCGUAGGCGGUUUGUUAAGUCUGUUGUGAAAUCCCCGGGCUCAACCUGGGAAUGGCAAUGGAUACUGGCAAGCUAGAGUGUGAUAGAGGAUGGUGGAAUUCCCGGUGUAGCGGUGAAAUGCGUAGAGAUCGGGAGGAACAUCAGUGGCGAAGGCGGCCAUCUGGAUCAACACUGACGCUGAGGCACGAAAGCGUGGGGAGCAAACAGGAUUAGAUACCCCCGUAGUCC